GUACGGUUUUCAGGGAGUCGGCUUUCGGGAAAAAAUUUCUCGCAAAUGAGCUUGACUGGCCUGAGCCGAGGACU
rnacentral:pre_miRNA from 1 species